rnacentral:rRNA from 1 species
AUGCUGGCGUUUGAGGAGGCACAUAGGGAUACAUCAGUUUCUUCUAGUACUUUGGCAAAUGGAAGUAGACCUUGCUGGCAGUACAUAUGGAAGAGCGGGGUUCCGCCCACUGUGCGUAAUUUUGCAUGGCGACUAGCAACCAAUGCGCUCCCAACGUGGAAUAAUAAGAAUAGGAUAGGCCUGGAGCCAUCCAGCAGAUGCCCUGUUUGUGGUGUGGAGGAAGAGGACAAUUAUCACCCCUUUUUGAGAUGUCAAUUUGGUCGCGAUCUGUACCUGGCUAUGGCCAAGGUGUGGAAUCUGCCGGCAAUUGAAUCGAUUAAUCCUAAUGGGAAAGAAUGGCUUCUUCAUGCUCUGGCUCCACUUGGUGAGUUUGAUCGUAUCAUGAUGUUGCUAAUUUUCUGGAGAUCCUGGUACGUCCGUAAUGAAUUAGUUCACUACAAACCAGCGCCGCCCAUGCAAGUGUCAAUCAGUUUUCUUCAGAGGUAUAGAGAAGAGCUGUUGUGCAUUAAGCUGAACCCACAUGCAGAUUCAGUAAAAGGAAAGUCGAUCAUUACGCUCGACCGGACCGCCAGACAACCUAGUGUUGCCGCGCCAGAGAAGGAAUUAGCUUGGAUUCCUCCAGUACUUAAUUGGGUUAAACUAAAUAGGGACGGCUCCUUUGUAUCAAGUUCUAGUGCAGGUGGAGGGAUGAUUCCGCGACAUAAUAUGGGCUCCAUCAUUUUUUCGGCUUGCAGGGCACUAUGGUCUUGUAGAGAUGCUUUGAAGGCGAAGCUGUGUGCGUGCAUGGAAGCACUGUCUCUGGCGUUAUGGCGAUCUGAUCUUCCUAUAGCCAUUGAGAUGGACUCGAGCAUGGCUGUGUCUUUGAUCUCUUGUGGUGACAUUGAUUGCUCAGUUUAUGCUUCCCUAGUGAAUGAAAUCAGACUUCUUUUAAGUCUUAGGCAGACUUGUAUUACUCAUGUUUCUAGAUUACAAAAUAAAGUGAGUGAUAGACUAGCUAGCUUUGCUGGAGUUGAAGGUCGGACUAUAACUUGGCUAGGGUCGGGUCCAGUAGAGAUUUUGGAAGUAGCUCAAGGUGAUUGUAAGGACAUUGUGAUUGAGUAA